GACCGACAUCAGUGACUCGUUCUGCGACCCAUUGCCGACGGCGAGGUAGGCGUUCAUCCCCAGCUCGCGCAUCUGCUGUUCGCCGAUCACCCGGGUGAUGACGUKKUUUUUGCUGUAGGUAUCGGCCAGCUGACGCGCCUGAGAGGCCAGAUAGGCGGCGUUACAGAUGUUCGGCGGCAUAUUGCCAAGAUCUUUUGC
rnacentral:antisense_RNA from 1 species